CUCGUGAGGGUCCGGCGGAUCGGGGAAUGGAUGAUUGAGUGAAUUGCUUAAUAUAGUACUGGGUCAUUUUUUCUGUACCGGUACAUCUCGGUUUAACGGGCGAAGGGAGGAAUCUAGAUAUAAACAAGCACAUUUUGCGGGCUAUAUUUAGGUAGGUUUGUGCGACUUUCGGUUUGUGCACGAAGUGUUUGAGCAUAUACGGGAGCAUAUUUAUGCGUCGCGUUUCAAAAUUGGUGCCCCGUUACAUUACAGCAUCUCAUCAGUUUAUUGGCUUAAAACUGAUUUGUAUAGUUAUUUUGCGGUUUGCUUUUGAACCUCUUUUUGGACAGAGCGGGUGGGUCGCACAUUUUCUGGUCAGCAUGGUGGCCAACGGCCAUCUUGAUGUCCAAGUCGUCAGGGUCCAUACUGUCGAGCGACUCGAGAUUUGACGUGCGAUGCCUGCAGCAGGAGCUCAUUUGGCUUUUCUUUCUAAUGCUUGAAGGUCUUUUUGACGAAGACGUGGACAAUUUCUUUUUACUUUCUUUGUUAAGGUCGCGGUUGUUGUGAAUGUGCCUUGUGAAUUAGAGUAUGUUGUAUAACACGUGAAGUAUUGUUAAUUCAGUGUGACGAAUGUUGUUCGUUUUUGUAUCAAGUUGUGAUAUUUACGCGGCUCACACGGCAGCGAUUUAUUUAUUUUUUUGUGAGGGGGGACUUGCUGACUAACAGCAACAUGAUAGCGUUAUGGGUUCAGUUCACUUCUGUUUUAUAUGCGGCAACAAAUUCCAAUCGGUUGUUGAAGAGUGUGGCGAAUAAACGGCGGAACUAUGUUGCAAGAUGAGGUUUAUGUCAGCACUGGCAGUGAACCCAAACUUCUUUUUUGUGUCAUGGAUUAUCUCACGCAUUGGCAGGGGGAAUGGUGUCUCUGGUUCGGAAACAUGAUACAACCUAUGGUUUUAACCAAUGUUGGAAUACGGUACAUUUUGAACUACAUCUCCAUUUCAGAUAAUGUACAUGGUUUUCGUUGAAUUAAUGAGGGGAUGCCAUAUUGGGUUUGGUUGAGGCUUUUCCAAAAUGGGUUGAAAAUUGAUAAAAUAGAAUGCAUGUUUCACAUUUUAUUUGAGACACUAUUGCUCCUGCCAUCCACAAUCUGCAGGAUUGGUAGUCAGUCUGAAAGUAUAUGGUUAAAAUUCAAUUGAAGAAAUUGAAUUGAAAUUGAAUUGACUUAUAUGUUAAUAUUACGAGAAUGGUGUUUUCUUCUUUGUUUUCUUCUUUCUUCUCAUAUAAAUUACUGAUAAUUUCUACAAAAUUGUGAACUAGGAAAUGAAGCUGAUUCGGUUGACAAUAUGUGAGAACGUUUAGAAAAAAAAAUGAAUUGAGAUUGCCGUAGGACGAUUGUGCUUUUUCACAGCAGGUUCCAGCAGACAUGGCUCUGAUUCGAAAGAUGAAAAAGAAACAUUGUGCUUCUUUGAAGUGUUGAUGACCACACCGAUUGAUGGACAUUGUAAAAAGGUCAUCUCGAUAGAAAAUCCACUGAGGAAGCUGUCUUGACGUGUGGCUGCUGUUGCAUUCCCUGUAUCAGAGUGCUGCUUAUCCGGCUUAUUACUACAGCUGUCGCGCCCACGACGUCUAAAGUGAAUGAGAUGUAUCCUCUGUUGUUGUUUGAUGGCGGUGAUUCUGAGGUUGAUUAUGCCUCUUCAGGUGAUGACGUGAUUUCGCUUCGGCAUCAGGGGGUCAUGGAUGGUUUUUGUCGUUUUGCUCCCUGCCCCUAGGUGUAACUAUGUUUGCGUGUGUGGCAUGACUCCACUGAUUAAAGUCCGUCGGGAAGGUUCUGUGUGAUGAUACGAGCAAAUGUAUUUUUAGUAAUCAUACAUUCGCGUAUUAUUGGAUUGAUUCUCACGUCGUCAAUUUAUGCUCGCAAAGAAGAAUGCUUCUGCCUGUCAUAAUAGUUUGAUUUUGCUUGCAAAGAAGAACGCUUAUGCUUGCAAUCAUUAAUUGACUAUGCCUGCAAUGAAGAACGCUUCUGCUUUUAAUAAAGAUACAUUCUUUAUGUACUCACAUUUUAUCCAUUAUAUACUCACUUUUAUAAUCAAGAAUGCUUGGUGCACUGUGUGGAAGUUUAGGGACGCAACCACCUUUCCGAGGACGUGGUUGGGAAGAGAUAAGUGUUAAGACUAAACAGUGAGCAAGGGUGAACAGUGAAUGGAGCCAUCAACACCAGCUGCGGCGUGAUGUUUUUGUGACAAUUGCACACAUGUACGUAAUUUGCACUCACA